UACGGGGGGAGCAAGCGUUGUUCGGAUUUACUGGGCGUAAAGGGCGUGCAGGCGGCAUGGUAAGUCUGAUGUGAAAGCUCCCGGCUCAACCGGGAGAGGACAUUGGAGACUGCCAAGCUCGAGGCAGAUAGAGGGAUGUAGAAUUCCGGGUGUAGUGGUGAAAUGCGUAGAGAUCCGGAGGAAUACCAGAGGCGAAGGCGGCAUCCUGGGUCUGACCUGACGCUGAGACGCGACAGCAUGGGGAGCGAACGGG
rnacentral:rRNA from 1 species